rnacentral:lncRNA from 1 species
UGCCAUGCAAAUUAAUAAGCCAAAUUUUAGUUAUAACCUCAUUACAUGUAUACAAAUAUAUUAAUUAAUUAAUUGAACUCAACUUGGCAAUUGAUUCAACUAGUGAAUCUAAAUGUCUUGCACUUUGCUAACAAAGACAUAUAUAUUAUGAGAUUAAUUAUUUGCAACAUUACAUAAAUUCAAACAUUGAUAGAUUUUGAGUUAAGUACUACCAGAGAAACGGAAUCACGAGCUGCAAGAGCAAGGAUAUCAGCACAAGACACAACACCGGGGCACGCAGCCUCGAGCUGUGUCUUUGCAUUAUCAAUAACCUCAAAUCCUCGUAAACCAAGGUUUGCAAAUGCUGUUCUCUCAGUUCCAUCACCGGCAAUGAGAACAGAAGCAUCGCAACCUUGCACAAAGCAAUCAUGGAAGUGCAUCCGAAGCAACCCAGCAGCCAAGGUAGGAUCAGACCUAACGUGGGAUUGAACUGUGGACCUAACAAUGAACUCAGCCCGUGGGCAUGUACUCGAAUAGAACCCUACACGCGUCCCUUGCCCAUGCACUGUGUUCACAAUGGCCAGAGCAAGCACAAGAAACACUAGUGAGUACAAACUCUGUCCCUCCAUUUUUGUGAGGAAAUUAACAGUUGUAAAUGUAAUGGAUAAUAUUUGUUUAGGCACUUAGUGAGAGAGUGUGCGAUGAGGAGGAGGAGGUAUUUAUAAGUGUGGUUUAGUCAACUUUUGGGUAUCUCAAAAAAACAAAAGUCAACUUUUGGAGAAAGAGUAAGCAAAGCCGGCUACAUGCAAUGCAAGUGUAUUGAAAUGAUGAUAUGGCUAAGGGUUCACAUACAUAUGAAACCGAGCUCACGGGUUUUGUCUUGUGCCGAGGCACGGUCUACUGUGAUGCAGCUGGUGCAAAUAAAAAUGAUACCGCGUGAGAGUGUGUAUUUAGUCAAAGUUUUCCAUUUUGGUGACCACCACACCAAAAAGUAGAGCUUUAUGCGGGAAAGCUCAAUCCUCUACUGAACAAAAUUUGUCGACACUGAACUCUGGUAGACUCAAAAGAUAUAAGGAAAAGAAGAAAUAUAUAAUAUAAAUAUAAUAAAUUAUAUAUUUUUUAGAAGCUAAACUGAAUAUUUUUGUGAAAAAUUGACCAGAUUUCAACGCAACAAUUAAGAUGUAGUAAAAUCUACACUCAAAAGAUAUUACAUUUGGCAAUUGAAAGUCGAUGUCAAGACUAAUUUGUAAACAUCUUCCAACCUUAAUUUACUAAGUGUCCUUUAGUAAGAAUAGAGUCCGAAUGAUCAUUGAGCACUAGAUAAUAUCUCCCAAAUGAGGUGAUUUUAAAGAGGUUUAAGAGUUUGAGGUCAAAAUAUUGAUGCUAGUAAAAGGAUGAAUAAAAAUAUAAUUAAGUUAAAUAGACUUAUUUUAAAAAGUCAACUAAUUUUUUUAAUAAUAUAUAUUUGUUUGCAACCUUUACCAUUUCUGUAGGCCUGCCCCAAAGAUUCAAUUGUGUCAGCUGACAACCAGUUGAAUAUUUUGACUAAAUAUAAACCAAAAACUAGUUGAUUGUAAACACAAUAAUUUCUUUAUUGAUAACUGAUAAGAUAGAUAGUUUCACUAAGAAAUGGGGUUCAUUUCCUAGAUAUGAUCAGUUCCCAUACUAUUAAAAGCGUUUAAACAUGCAAUUUGACUAAAUUUGUGGUGAAAUGUGAUUGUAAGUAGUGGACAAUUUUUUAAAAUUUUGCAUCAUAAAAAAUAGUAAGAAAUUAAUAGUUUUACUCAUAUUAUUUAAAAUCAAAAUUUUAAUAAAUUAAUAUUGUUUUAAAUUAUUAAUUUUUUGAAAAAAGUAGAAUUAAGUUAAAUAAUUUAUAUUGUUUAAAAUCAAUUUUUUUAAUAUUUUAUUAAUAAUUGGAUGCAAGCAUACAAUGGAAAUCAACAUAUCUAUAAAAGUAACGUAAAAUAAUUAAUAUUGCAUUCCCAUAGUAACGUAAAAUAAUUAAUAUUGCAUUCCCAUAGUACACAUAUGACAUUGUCUUAGAUUGAAACUUCUAAGCAAUUGUCUAUUUUCAUCCGUUAUUUCCGUUUCGUGCUUAUUCUCAUCAAUCAGGUAAUCAUAUCAACAACUUGUAUUUACUCUCCCACAAUGAAAAGAUCCAACUCGUCAUAUUUUAGGUUGGCCAAUAUGAAAUUUUCUCAUUCUAUAGUAUUAGUUAUAAUUAAUGCAAAUGUUAGUUGAGAAAACCGCUAAAGAAAACUGUGGACAAGUUGUGUGAUACUGUAGCUUUAAUAUCUACAUCACACAUAUUACAGCUAGCUUUCAAUUUAUUGUAGACAAAUUCAAUGACUGAAGCUGCUAUAUAAUGGAAAGGGCUCAUCGAAUAUAAUAUAACAUCAAUGGAUACAGCCAACAGAUAACUUACAUCUCAAUAAAAGCCAAAAUAUCUAUAUAGAAAAUUAGCAGGGGAAAAAAUGUUAAAAUGAUGAGAAAAAUAAAAUAAAGGCUUGAUGUGUUUGAAUUAGUAUUUUUCAGUUUUUUUUAAUUAAACGCCUUUUUUUGUAAAUAUUAUUGAAAAAAGUGAUUAUUUAAAAAAGUAUUAAUUUCAAACAUGUUUCAUUAAUUUAGAUAUCAAUAUAUUAAGGUCUCAAGUCGCAACGUAUGCGGUUAAUUUGUUUUAACAUUAUUUUAUCAGCAAUUCCCUUGAGAUUUAUAGUUUUCGCUAAUCUGAAUUCUCACCCCCCACAUUUUUACAGAUUAGGAUUUGAACCCGGCAGUUUACAAUAUAUCAAAACUCGAUUAUGCAAUACACACUACUCAUGUAUACAUCUUCCACAACAUGAAUAAAUAUUUUAAAUUUACAAAAUUGUCAAUCACAAUAUCAAAAUUAAAUUAUUUUCUUUAUCACCAUAUUAUAUUGAUGCAAAGUAUCUCCGACACAUGUUGACGUUGAUAAAUUAAUUCAUCAUUCUAUGUAAACUCAAAAAAAUUAAUAUAUGGGUAAUUCAAUUAAUAAUUAAAAACUAUUUGUUUCUCUAAAAAAAUUUAAUAUUUAAUUUAAUCAAUAAUUGAGUAAAUUGAUUUGAUGUUAUUUAGAAAAGGAUUAUUAUGUUGAACAAAAUUUAAUAUUUAUUCUGUAACUUGUACACUUUCAAGAUGAAAAUAUUUCGUCUGGCCAGACAAAAGAAGCAAAUUGUAUAUGAUACACUUCACUGGCAAAUGCCAACAGAGAAACAGUUCUAGAAGCAAUUUAAUUAUUAAUUGUUUGAAGUGGCUAUAUAUCUAGUUGAUGGCAGAACAUAUCUUGCGAAUUUCACCAUCGGUACCGGUUUUCAACUCAAUGUUGCCCAUUUUCACCAUAGACUUCCCAAAUUCCACGUUGAAUGUUAAUCCAAGUAACCCUCUUAUUAAGCCCAAGUACCUCUGAACAGUUGUCUUUGUGGAAGCAUCACUCCAUAGUGCUUGAUCAGAUUGCAGAAUUCCACGAGAAUUCCUCAAAUUACUAUAGUAAGAUAAAUCAAAUUUGGUUUGACUACCCGUAUCUAGCGCUACUCGUUUUGAACCGUCACCGUUUUGAGGGCAUAGUGAUUGUAGUUGGGAAAGAAAUGAAGGGUCGAUGGAAGGGUCAGGACCAUUCGCGGUGAAGUUGUACAAUCUGUUACUGAAGAACUGGCAAGCUGUAGUACCAAUGGUAUGUGCACCUAUAUAUAUACAUUAGUUAACAAAAAUAAAAUCCAUUAAUUCAACUUUGUAUUGUGAACCUGUAUCUUAGUUUCAUAUAACAUAUACUUUUGUUUUCAUAAAAGAUAUAGUCGUAUGAAGUUAAUUUUAGUGUUGAUUUUUCCACGGCACUUUUGUUUGUACCUUUUUAUAAUAUCCAUUGAAAAGCAUUGUUCAAUUUUUUUUCAAACACGUAUCCUUUUAAAAAAAUGUCAUAUCACUUGACAAUGAUAGAAAAUAAGAAAGAAAGAAGAUGUUAUUCUAAUGUGCGUUACAUAUAUAAGAAAGUGUAAUAAAAAGUGAAUAAGUCAACAAUUAUAUUAAAGUUAAUGUGAAGUCAUUCUAUUUGCAUUUUGCCACUACCUAUAGUUAGAACUGAGCUGUCACAAAGCAACCGUGAUAUAUACUAUGUGAAAAGUAUGAGUUCGAUUUGAAAUGAUGAUCAAUUCGAUCGUUGACUUGAAGUGUGUAAACAAACUUAUAUAUGUGUAAGUGUAAUUACCAACAAGGGUGACGAGGUCUUGAGUGUUGAGGCCCUUUGCUGUGAACUUUUGUUUCUGAACAUCAACAGAGUCAAAAGGAGCAGGCAAGUUACUCACGUCGGAAGCCUGUGAUAUGCGUCCAUCUCUGCGUCCAGUAAGCACUUGAUAACUCAGUCCACCACUCUGCCAUGCAAAAAUGCCAAAUUUUAAUUAAUUAUAAACACAUACGUACAUAUAUAUAUAUAUUAUAAGCACGACAUGAUGCAUACAAAUAUAUAUAUUGAACUCAUCAACUUGGCUAUAAUAUUAAUUAUUUGUAGUACAUAUAUAAAUUCAAAAUGGAUAGAAUUUGAGUGUUGAUGAAUUACCAGAACAACGGAAUCACGAGCAGCAAGAGCAAGGAUAUCAGCGCAAGACACAACACCGGGGCAUGCAGCCUCGAGCUGUUUCUUUGCAUCAUCAAUAACCUCAAAUCCUCGUAAACCAAGGUUUGCAAAUGCUGUUCUCUCAGUGCCAGAACCGGCAAUGAGAACAGAAGCGUCACAACCUUGCACAAAGCAAUCAUGGAAGUGCAUCCGAAGCAACCCAGCAGCCAAAGUACUAUCAGAAUUAACAUGGGUUGUAACUGUGGACUUAACAAUGGACUCAGCGCGUGGGCAUGUACUCGAAUAGAACCCUACACGCGUCCCUUGCCCAUGCACUUUGUUCAC